UGCAGCAACGCCGCGUGAGGGAUGACGGCCUCUCGGGUUGUAAACCUCUUUUAGCAGGGAAGAAGCGAAAGUGACGGUACCUGCAGAAAAAGCGCCGGCUAACUACGUGCCAGCAGCCGCGGUAAUACGUAGGGCGCAAGCGUUAUCCGGAAUUAUUGGGCGUAAAGAGCUCGUAGGCGGUUUGUCGCGUCUGCUGUGAAAUCCCGAGGCUCAACUUCGGGUCUGCAGUGGGUACGGGCAGACUAGAGUGCGGUAGGGGAGAUUGGAAUUCCUGGUGUAGCGGUGGAAUGCGCAGAUAUCAGGAGGAACACCGAUGGCGAAGGCAGAUCUCUGGGCCGUAACUGACGCUGAGGAGCGAAAGGGUGGGGAGCAAACAGGCUUAGAUACCCUGGUAGUCCACCCCGUAAACGUUGGGAACUAGUUGUGGGGUCCAUUCCACGGAUUCCGUGACGCAGCUAACGCAUUAAGUUCCCCGCCUGGGGAGUACGGCCGCAAGGCUAAAACUCAAAGGAAUUGACGGGGACCCGCACAAGCGGCGGAGCAUGCGGAUUAAUUCGAUGCAACGCGAAGAACCUUACCAAGGCUUGACAUAUACGAGAACGCUGCAGAAAUGUAGAACUCUUU
rnacentral:rRNA from 1 species